rnacentral:rRNA from 1 species
UACGUAGGGUGCGAGCGUUAAUCGGAAUUACUGGGCGUAAAGCGUGCGCAGGCGGUUCGCUGUGUCCGAUGUGAAAGCCCCGGGCUUAACCUGGGAAUGGCAUUGGAAACUGGCGGGCUUGAGUGUGGCAGAGGGGGGUGGAAUUCCGCGUGUAGCAGUGAAAUGCGUAGAGAUGCGGAGGAACACCGAUGGCGAAGGCAGCCCCCUGGGCUGACACUGACGCCUCAGGCACGAAAGCGUGGGGAGCAAACAGG